GGGGCUGUAGCUCAGCUGGGAGAGCGCCUGCCUUGCACGCAGGAGGUCAGCGGUUCAAUCCCGCUUAGCUCCA
rnacentral:tRNA from 1 species